rnacentral:rRNA from 1 species
UACGUAGGGGGCAAGCGUUGUCCGGAUUUAUUGGGCGUAAAGAGCGUGUAGGCGGUUAGGUAGGUCCGUUGUGAAAACUCGAGGCUCAACCUCGAGACGCCGAUGGAAACCAUCUGACUAGAGUCCGGAAGAGGAGAGUGGAAUUCCUGGUGUAGCGGUGAAAUGCGCAGAUAUCAGGAAGAACACCCGUGGCUAAGGCGGCUCUCUAGUACGUGACUGACGCUGAGACGCGAAAGCGUGGGGAGCGAACAGGAUUAGACU